AAGAAGCACCGGCUAACUACGUGCCAGCAGCCGCGGUAAUACGUAGGGUGCGAGCGUUAAUCGGAAUUACUGGGCGUAAAGCGUGCGCAGGCGGUUAUGUAAGACAGAUGUGAAAUCCCCGGGCUCAACCUGGGAACUGCGUUUGUGACUGCAUAACUUGAGUACGGCAGAGGGAGGUGGAAUUCCACGUGUAGCAGUGAAAUGCGUAGAGAUGUGGAGGAACACCGAUGGCGAAGGCAGCCUCCUGGGCCAGUACUGACGCUCAUGCACGAAAGCGUGGGGAGCAAACAGGAUUAGAUACCCUGGUAGUCCACGCCCUAAACGAUGUCAACUAGUUGUUCGGUGAGGAGACUCAUUGAGUAACGCAGCUAACGCGUGAAGUUGACCGCCUGGGGAGUACGGCCGCAAGGUUAAAACUCAAAGGAAUUGACGGA
rnacentral:rRNA from 1 species